rnacentral:rRNA from 1 species
GAUGAACGCUGGCGGCGUGCCUAAUACAUGCAAGUCGAGCGAACAGGCGAUGAGCUUGCUCCUCUGACGUUAGCGGCGGACGGGUGAGUAACACGUGGAUAACCUACCUAUAAGACUUGGAUAACUUCGGGAAACCGGAGCUAAUACCGGAUAAUAUAUUGAACCGCAUGGUUCAAUAGUGAAAGACGGUUUUGCUGUCACUUAUAGAUGGAUCCGCGCCGCAUUAGCUAGUCGGUAAGGUAACGGCUUACCAAGGCAACGAUGCGUAGCCGACCUGAGAGGGUGAUCGGCCACACUGGAACUGAGACACGGUCCAGACUCCUACGGGAGGCAGCAGUAGGGAAUCUUCCGCAAUGGGCGAAAGCCUGACGGAGCAACGCCGCGUGAGUGAUGAAGGUCUUCGGAUCGUAAAACUCUGUUAUUAGGGAAGAACAAAUGUGUAAGUAACUAUGCACGUCUUGACGGUACCUAAUCAGAAAGCCACGGCUAACUACGUG